rnacentral:lncRNA from 1 species
CCCCGAUCUGGGGUGGCAGGUGGUGGCUCAGAGAGGACUUCCCUCUUCUCCACGUCUUUUCUUCUCAUGCUUCCUCACUCACCCCCUGGACACACACACGUUCCUCUUGGAGUCUUGCUGGGCUGAGCCACCACCUUUUCUUAGCCAGCAAUCCUUGGGGUACCUACCUCCAGUCCAGGUGGUUUGUUAAAUAUUUAUUUCAAGUGAACAGCAACUGACUGGAGUAGUCCAGAGGUAUGCAGACCGGCAGGAGGAAGCUGGCUCGCCCUGUGCGAUCUCAAAACUAGAUGGCCGCCCCUCAGCUCGCUGGAGAGACGGCUGCGCAAGUACCUGAAGCUUCAGUCCAGGGAUGGUGGCCUUCCAAAGAGGAUAUUGUCUGUUUACCUUACAACUGCCAACAAUAAACCAAGCUGCUCUUUGCUGGCCAGUUGAGAGCUGUUUAUAAGGCACCGUCCAAGUGAUGACAGAAUCUGGCAGCUCCUCACACAUCAGUCCAAGGCGAAAAGAAGCUCCCUGCUUACCUGACACAUCGAGAAACUCCUCAUCAAGACCCUGAUGAGAUAAUGGAAAAAAUGAAACCCAAGCUUGGAUCCAAGUUGGACAAUACAACUGUCUAACAGACAUACCUCUUUAGAUGAUACAAUGAAUGUGCACCCAGCAAGAGACCAUCUAAGGUCUCAAAGUGAUGUGAGAGAUGGGUGAAAGGAUGGGUGAACCAUUCUUCACCAAGGCAGCCCCAUCGAUAUCCGGGACGGAUUGCAUGGCGAAGGGAAGUCCGACAUCACCCAAGUCCCAAAUGAAACUGGAAGCAUAAACGGGAAAUGUAUUUUUCCACUUCUUAGGUAGGCUACAGGCUCCCUAUGUGAUGUUCACAAUUUAGUUCAGUUUGACAAACAUUUACCAAGUGUUCUUUAUGUGUAAGGCCUUGGGUCAAGUACUUGGGAUGUAAAGAUGAGCAGGACACACUCUGUUCCCUUGAAGAGCUCUAUAACCUGACGGGGAAAACAGGUGAAAAAACAGAUAAUGAUGAUUUGAGGGAGUCAGUCCUGUCAGAGACUGCACCAAGUGUGCUGUGAGCACAGAGAGCUUUCAUAAUCCGGGGACGAGGUCAGGGUUGGGGUGCAGUCACAGAAGACCCAUCUGGGCAGUUGAAGUGGCCCAAGUUAUAAGACAAAUCCAUUUUAAGACAGAGAAGGCUCUUAGUUUUGGCACAUUCAAUCUACAACCUUCUCAGUUAUCUACACUACAGCAUAGAUAGGGACCUCCAUAAAGUCCCACUAACCUUGCAACAGACAGCUCUAAGUCAGCGGCACACUUCCUUGUGAGAAAUGCCAUUCUUCUUGGCAUAACUGAAGACACUGUUCCCAAGAAUCCUGCUACAGUGAGCCACAUCUGCCAAGAGAGUUGGAAAGAGAGCAGCACAAAUGAAAAGGCCAAGUUUUUAAAAAUAAGGAAAUGUGACUAAUUUUCAUGAACAGAUAAGGCAAAAAGUGGGUAUCAUCAUUGACUGUGGAAAUCCCAGUCACAGCAAAUGAGGUAGGUAGCUGCCUGCAAUAGCGCAAACUCAUGUAGACCAAGCCUGCAGCUCAGCGGCUGCACUUCACAAUGUGGAGGAGGCGCACUGUGUUGGUUCCCCAUUCCCACCAUGGAAUGCCAAUCAGCCAGCCAACCACUGCAUAACUGAAGGCCUACGAUGUACCAGGAACACAGGACAUAAUCACAAGGAGACUGAGGAUUACAAAGUGCAGGUAGAGUGCUAUGAGAGUGAGUAAGGGGGUUCUAACCUAGUCUGGGGGAGCAGACAAGGCUUCCAGGAGGGGGCCAUGUUUUUGCUGAGACCUGAAAGAUAACCAAGAAAGUAGCUCGGUGGGGAGGGGCAGGAGGGACUUGACGAAAAGUGCAGUGUUGGGUGUUGAAGAGUGGCACGGGGAAAUGCUGCUUCCCUCUUUCUGGUUUUAAGUCUUCCCUAAAGACUCUUGCCCUCUUGCCCCCCUUUAUUCCUCACCAGUGAGGAAGGGUGAGCUAUCUGAUGAGUAUCUGUUUUGUGUCAGCCUAUACGGAUGCUGUUUUCUAGGACUGCCUGGCAGCACUCGCCUGGGCCCUACUACUUGUGGUGAACCUCUACUCCCCACACUGGAGCCAAUGUUGUAGCUGGACCAGCCCUUGUGGCUCUUACUAUGAUUACAAGAUGCACCUCACAACAACCAACAGGGAACUUUGAGAAAACAAGGCUUAUUACUCACAAGCCCUGGAGGGUACACGGCAUGCCCGAAAGCCACACACCGAGGUCAUGGGAUAUGGGAGAAACAUGGAUGCCGAUUUAGAUCAUAUACCACAUACUGGAGGACAUUGCCCCAGCCCUGCAAGGGGUCACCACCUGGUUGGCACUGUAAAUGAAUCCUCAACAAGCCAAUCAACCAUCUGUCAAGGCAGUUGCUUCGAGAUGAUGGGGAACAUGGUAAGACCAGUGAAUUCCAAGAGCCUGAACCCACUGCUGCAUUUCACUUGCUGUGAAGACUAUCAUGGUGGAUGAGGCCUUCUGUAAGGCCACAGAUGGCAGUUUUGGCAGAAGUAUUGUGGGCAGAGAAGGCAAAUCUAUUUCCAGAGGAAGUGUCAACUCCAGUAAGAACAACUUGCUGCCUCUUCUAUAAUGAAAGUGGUCCAAUGUAAUCAACCUAACACUGGGUAGCUGGCUGAUCCCCUCAAGCAAUGGUGCCAUAUGAGGGGCUCGGUGUUGUCUCUUCUGCUGGAAGAAUGAACACUCAGCAGUGGCUGUAGCCAGGUCAGUCUUAGUGAGUGCAAGUCCAUGUUGCUGAGCCCAUGAAUAACCUCUAUCGCUGUCACCAUGGGUACCGUGUUCAUGAGUCCACAGGAGUGGCUGGGAAAGGCUACCUGAUGUUUACAGGAUGGGCCAUCCUAUCCACUUGAUUAUCAAAAUCUUCCUCUACUCUGGUGAACAUUCACUUGGAACAAAAAUAUCUUCAUACUCUGACGUCUGGAGGUCUCUCCUCAUACCUCUUGCUCAGACCUCCUUUCGAUUUUCCAAUCCCUUUCCUUUCAAGUCCAACUACCCAGCCAAACCACGAUUUGGUGCACUCAUUCUUCUAGCCAUCUCUCCUUUCAGGCGAAAUGAACAAACAGGUGACUUGCUCCAAGUUCUGUCCACUGGGAGGAUCUCCCUUCACCACCACCUUUCAGGGCUGUCUCAGAGUGGGCUCUAGAGCUGUCGCUGUCCACUUUCAGGUGAUGCAUACAGAUCACGCAGGACUGUCUGUAAACCAAGUCCAAGACUUUUCUUCCUUAGUCGACUGAUCACAGGAAACUCCCCAUGAAGGCAUGGGUAUCAGUUGAGAGAGGAUGUAGUCUAGCAAGAAUAGGGGCCAUGGGCAAGUCUGGGAAUUGAUUAUAAGACCUCAGGGUAACAGAUGAUUAACAUCCUCAGGCAGGGAUGGAAGGGCUGCUUCUAGUGGCAAAAAAGGUUUGAGGUCCUUAGCUUCCUUGGAAUCUGCGCAUAUGACCCAUCCUAAUGUUCAGACUCGCAUUCCUUCCCCACCAAUGCCCUAACUACUAACAAAAGAGACCCUGUGAGGUUAGGAAUUCAAUUUGUGUUGUAACCAAAUGCCAGGAGGACUCAUAAAACUCAGUAACUAGUUAUUUUCAUAGCUAAAAUUUUUUCCAGCAAAGGAUACCCAGCAAAAGCAUCAGGAGAAUGAUAGGCAUUGGUGGAGUCCAGGGAGAUGCAGCACAGGCCUCUCAUCUUCUUCCUUGUCCAAGGGCACACGCAGAGGAAUGCUCUCUUUCCAACAGCGAACCAUAGGGAAAGU